GAUGAAGAACGUAGCGAAAUGUGAUAAGUAGUGUGAAUUGCAGAAGUACCGUGAAUCAUCGAAUCUUUGAACGCAAAUUGCACUCUCUGGUAUUCCGGGGAGUAUGCCUGUUUGAGGGUCGCUUAACAAACCAUCGAUUUCGUUGCUUUUUUUUUAAAAAGUGAUGUUUAUCGGAUUUGAGCCGUCUUUUUUUUUUAUAUUUAAGUGGCUUAAAAUUGAUUUUUUUGGUACGAUCGAAGCGUAUUUUUAUGAUCAAUUUUUGGUUAAAGAAACGCACACGUACCGUUAUUUAUAUGAUGUAAUACGUUUGACUAUUGGAUUUAGUUCAUUCGUAUACGAUAUUUUUCAAUAUUUGACCUCAAAUCAGGUAAGAACACCCGCUGAACUUAAGCAUAUCAAUAAGCGGAGGA
rnacentral:misc_RNA from 1 species